AUUCCACGUCCCUUCUCUCGGGCCAUUAUUUGAACUUUUAGGUCACCAGCUGUUUUCGUGCUCACUUGAAGGCUUUUGAGUAUUUCUUAAGUGCCGUUUCUUUCCUUCUCCUUCCUUACAUUUUAUUUGAGGAAUCCCCAGAGGGGAUUGCUCGUGAAGACUGUGGUGCUCCCCAGCGUGUACUGCUGCCUGCUGUCAGUCUGCUCCCAGCCCGGCAGGAGUGGGCGAACGUCAGAAAGACAGGACGUGACCAGUCACAGAGACAAAGCAAGAAGAACUGGAAAUGUCCGCGUGGUGAUUCAGGAGACUGUGUGACCGUAGCCCCUCAGGAGACCCAGCUUCCGGUGGGGUGGGGGAUUUGGCUUAGGAAGGAGUUGGCAACUUCCCAGGGCCCUGUGGCUGGUGCUUCCCUUAGAGCUCCCUCUGUCCCUGAAGCACCUCUGCUCAUACUUAAGGGGAAAUACACCCCUCAGAAGUUCCUCAAACUCCAGGUCUAAUUCCGUUUAAUUUGUCCCUCAGGAGUUUUCUGCCCCUCUUAGAACCACUUUUCAGCUUGUGAAACCCCCUUCUCAUUUGCCUUCCAACAGUGUUAUAGAAAUCUGUAUGGCCGUUUUGUGCGUGUGUGUGCAUGUGUGUAUACAUGUGUGUAUACUUGUGUGCACUUGUUAUACAGUUCUUGGUUCUUUCGAGUUUCACUUAGGAAGAGGAUAAUCCCUGGAACAGAAUAAAGUGGGAAUCUUCUUGG